AACAUUCAUUGUUGUCGGUGGGUUGUGAGGACCAAGGCCAGACCCACCGGGGGAUGAAUGUCAC
rnacentral:ncRNA from 2 species